rnacentral:rRNA from 1 species
AGGGUGUAAACGCUGCAGACUUGGUGUUGGGAACCCUUCGGGGUGCUCAGUGCCGGAGAGAAGUUGUUAAGUCUGCUACUUGGGAGUACGUCCGCAAGGAUGAAACUUAAAGGAAUUGGCGGGGGAGCACCGCAACGGGAGGAGCGUGCGGUUUAAUUGGAUUCAACGCCGAAAAACUCACCAGCAGCGACUGUUACAUGAAAGUCAGGUUGAUGACCUUACUAGAUUUUCAGAGAGGUGGUGCAUGGCGUGUGACUGU